AGAGGACGGUGAAUAAGAAGAAGAAAAAAGAAGCAAAAUCAAGAGGAAGAAGAAGAAGAAAUUGGGGAAAAACCCUUCUUAGAAGAGAUUGAAGCUGUAGGAGGGAGUUUGUGUGAAAGCUUGGAGUUGAGGAAUUGAAGAGUUGGAUGGCAUGACACUUGUUUUGUGGAAUCAGGUCUUAUGGUUAUUUUAUAGACAAGAGAUGUGUUUAGUUUACUUGUUAAAUUCUGUAACCAUUGUAAGUAGCUUGCUAAACCUCAUAAUUAAGCACAGCUCUGAGGUGUGUUUUGGGUAUCCUUAGCCUUUGUCAGUGUAAGUUGCCGUUUUACUA